UGCAGUCGACGAACUCUUCGGAGUUAGUGGCGGACGGGUGAGUAACGCGUGAGAAUCUGCCCUUAGGUUGGGGACAACAGUUGGAAACGACUGCUAAUACCCAAUGUGCCGAGAGGUGAAAGGUUAACUGCCUGGGGAUGAGCUCGCGUCUGAUUAGCUAGUUGGAGUGGUAAUGGCACACCAAGGCGACGAUCAGUAGCUGGUCUGAGAGGAUGAUCAGCCACACUGGGACUGAGACACGGCCCAGACUCCUACGGGAGGCAGCAGUGGGGAAUUUUCCGCAAUGGGCGAAAGCCUGACGGAGCAAGACCGCGUGAGGGAGGAAGGCCUAUUGGUUGUAAACCUCUUUUGAUAGGGAAGAACACAAUGACGGUACCUAUCGAAUCAGCAUCGGCUAACUCCGUGCCAGCAGCCGCGGUAAUACGGAGGAUGCAAGCGUUAUCCGGAUUUAUUGGGCGUAAAGCGUCCGUAGGUGGCCGUCCAAGUCAGUUGUUAAAGCGUAGAGCUUAACUCUAUAACGGCAAUUGAAACUGGGUGGCUAGAGUGCGAUAGGGGCAAGGGGAAUUCCCAGUGUAGCGGUGAAAUGCGUAGAUAUUGGGAAGAACAUCGGUGGCGAAGGCGCCUUGCUGGGUCUGCACUGACACUGAGGGACGAAAGCUAGGGGAGCGAAGGGAUUAGAUACCCCUGUAGUCUAGCUGUAACGAUGGAUACUAGGCGUUGUCCGUAUCGACCCGGGCAUUGCCGUAGCUUACGCGUUAGUAUCCGCCUGGGGAGUACGCUCGCAAGA
rnacentral:rRNA from 1 species